rnacentral:rRNA from 1 species
UACGUAGGGGGGCUAGCGUUGUCCGGAUUUAUUGGGCGUAAAGAGCGUGUAGGCGGCCAGGUAGGUCUGGCUGUUAAAACUCGAGGCUUAACCUCGAGAGUCGUGGAAACCAUCUGGCUAGAGUCCGGAAGAGGAGAGUGGAAUUCCUGGUGUAGCGGUGAAAUGCGCAGAUAUCAGGAAGAACACCCGUGGCGAAGGCGGCUCUCUGGGACGGUACUGACGCUGAGACGCGAAGGCGUGGGGAGCGAACAGG